GUGCCAGCAGCCGCGGUAAUACAGAGGGUGCGAGCGUUGUUCGGAAUUACUGGGCGUAAAGCGCGCGCAGGCGGCCUUUUAAGUCUACCCGUGAAAUGCCGGGGCUCAACUCCGUGCACGCCGGGGGAUACUGGGAGGCUGGAGACAUGUAGAGGCAAGCGGAAUUCCGGGUGUAGCGGUGGAAUGCGUAGAGAUCCGGAAGAACACCUGAGGCGAAGGCGGCUUGCUGGGCAUGAUCUGACGCUGAGGCGCGAAAGCGUGGGGAGCGAACAGGAUUAGAUACCCUGGUAGUCC
rnacentral:rRNA from 1 species